rnacentral:rRNA from 1 species
GUCGCUGCCCGGGACUGAACCGUUUCGAGAAGACUGGGGAUUGCUGACUUAGGGCCUUCACGGGCUUUUUGUCGGUGAAAACCAUUUUAAUCGCAGCGGUUUGAACCGGGCAA